AUUGAACGCUGGCGGCAGGCCCAACACAUGCAAGUCGAACGGUAACAGGAAGCAGCUUGCUGCUUUGCUGACGAGUGGCGGACGGGUGAGUAAUGUCUGGGAAACUGCCUGAUGGAGGGGGAUAACUACUGGAAACGGUAGCUAAUACCGCAUAACGUCGCAAGACCAAAGAGGGGGACCUUAGGGCCUCUUGCCAUCGGAUGUGCCCAGAUGGGAUUAGCUAGUAGGUGGGGUAACGGCUCACCUAGGCGACGAUCCCUAGCUGGUCUGAGAGGAUGACCAGCCACACUGGAACUGAGACACGGUCCAGACUCCUACGGGAGGCAGCAGUGGGGAAUAUUGCACAAUGGGCGCAAGCCUGAUGCAGCCAUGCCGCGUGUAUGAAGAAGGCCUUCGGGUUGUAAAGUACUUUCAGCGGGGAGGAAGGGAGUAAAGUUAAUACCUUUGCUCAUUGACGUUACCCGCAGAAGAAGCACCGGCUAACUCCGUG
rnacentral:rRNA from 1 species